UCGAGGGGCAGCAUGAAGUUCGCUUGCAAACUUUGAUGGCGACCGGCGCACGGGUGAGUAACGCGUAUCCAACCUUCCCUAUAGUAGAGAAUAGCCCGGCGAAAGUCGGAUUAAUGCUCUAUGUUAUUCAAAGCGGACAUCUAAUUUGAAUCAAAGGUUCACCGCUAUAGGAUGGGGAUGCGUCUGAUUAGCUUGAUGGCGGGGUAACGGCCCACCAUGGCGACGAUCAGUAGGGGUUCUGAGAGGAAGGUCCCCCACAUUGGAACUGAGACACGGUCCAAACUCCUACGGGAGGCAGCAGUGAGGAAUAUUGGUCAAUGGGCGAGAGCCUGAACCAGCCAAGUAGCGUGCAGGAUGACGGCCCUAUGGGUUGUAAACUGCUUUUAUGCGGGGAUAAAGUCGGCUACGCGUAGCCGUUUGUAGGUACCGCAUGAAUAAGGACCGGCUAAUUCCGUGCCAGCAGCCGCGGUAAUACGGAAGGUCCGGGCGUUAUCCGGAUUUAUUGGGUUUAAAGGGAGCGCAGGCCGGAGGUCAAGCGUGACGUGAAAUGUAGGGGCUCAACCUUUGAAUUGCGUCGCGAACUGGUUUCCUUGAGCGAGUACGACGUCAGCGGAAUUCGUGGUGUAGCGGUGAAAUGCUUAGAUAUCACGAAGAACCCCGAUUGCGAAGGCAGCUGACGAGUCCUUUACUGACGCUAAAGCUCGAAGGUGCGGGUAUCGAACAGGAUUAGAUACCCUGGUAGUCCGCACGGUAAACGAUGGAUGCCCGCUGUUUGCGAUAUAUUGUAAGCGGCCAAGCGAAAGCGUUAAGCAUCCCACCUGGGGAGUACGCCGGCAACGGUGAAACUCAAAGGAAUUGACGGGGGCCCGCACAAGCGGAGGAACAUGUGGUUUAAUUCGAUGAUACGCGAGGAACCUUACCCGGGCUUGAACUGCAGGAGAACGAUCCAGAGAUGGUGAGGCCAUUCGGGGCUCCUGUGGAGGUGCUGCAUGGUUGUCGUCAGCUCGUGCCGUGAGGUGUCGGCUUAAGUGCCAUAACGAGCGCAACCCCUUUCGCCAGUUGCCAUCAGGUGAUGCUGGGCACU
rnacentral:rRNA from 1 species